AAAGCUUUAAGUUUAAAAUUAAACUAUUAACCUUCAAAGUUAAAAAUAUAGGAUAUAUAAGCUUUA
rnacentral:tRNA from 1 species